GGCAUGAAUGACCUGCCUGCAUGACGGGGAUAACUACUCGAAAGGGUAGCUAAUACCGGAUGCGGUUCUCGACUCACGGGUCGAGAAUCAAAGAUGGCCUCUGUUUCAAGCUGUCGCAUGCAGAGGGGUUCAUGUGCUAUUAGCUUGUUGGUGGGGUAACGGCCCACCAAGGCUAUGAUGGCUAGCCGGCCUGAGAGGGUGUCCGGCCACACUGGGACUGAGACACUGCCCAGACUCCUACGGGAGGCUGCAGUCGAGAAUCUUCCACCAAUGUGCGAAAGCAUGAUGGAGCGACGCCGC
rnacentral:rRNA from 1 species